UAUCAGGUAGUAGUGGGUGUAGCGUACCUACUAGCCUACGACGGGUACGGGUUGUGAGAGCAAGAGCCCGGAGAUGGAUUCUGAGACACGAAUCCAGGCCCUACGGGGUGCAGCAGGCGCGAAAACUUUACAAUGCUGGCAACAGCGAUAAGGGAACCUCGAGUGCCAGGUUACAAAUCUGGCUGUCGAGAUGCCUAAAAAGCAUUUCAUAGCAAGGGCCGGGCAAGACCGGUGCCAGCCGCCGCGGUAACACCGGCGGCUCGAGUGGUAACCGUUAUUAUUGGGUCUAAAGGGUCUGUAGCCGGCCGGAUAAGUCUCUUGAGAAAUCUGGCAGCUUAACUGUCAGGCUUUCAGGAGAUACUGUCUGGCUCGAGGCCGGGAGAGGUGAGAGGUACUUCAGGGGUAGGGGUGAAAUCUUGUAAUCCUUGAAGGACCACCAGUGGCGAAGGCGUCUCACCAGAACGGACCUGACGGCAAGGGACGAAAGCUAGGGGCACGAACCGGAUUAGAUACCCGGGUAGUCCUAGCCGUAAACGAUACUCGCUAGGUGUCGGCCACGGUGCGACCGUUGUCGGUGCCGUAGGGAAGCCGUGAAGCGAGCCA
rnacentral:rRNA from 1 species